UCAGCAUUAUUUUGGCUAGUGCUUACGGUU
rnacentral:piRNA from 1 species